rnacentral:rRNA from 1 species
UACGUAGGGGGGCUAGCGUUGUCCGGAUUUAUUGGGCGUAAAGAGCGUGUAGGCGGCCAGGUAGGUCUGGUGUGAAAACUCGAGGCUUAACCUUGAGAUGUCAUCGGAAACCAUUUGGCUAGAGUCCGGAAGAGGAAAGUGGAAUUCCUGGUGUAGCGGUGGAAUGCGCAGAUAUCAGGAGGAACACCUGUGGCGAAAGCGGCUCACUGGACCACAACUGACGCUGAUGCACGAAAGCUAGGGGAGCAAACAGG